rnacentral:rRNA from 1 species
GGGUCACGCGGGGCCGGCGGCCGCGGAAAGGAGGGGGGGGUGGGGGGUGUCCGGAAGAAGUGGGGGUAACGGGCGGGUAGGUGGCGGGAUGAGCGUGUGGUGAAAGUCCGGGGCUCAGCUCCGGAUCGGCCGUGCGUACUGUCCUGCUCGAGCACAGUAGAGGCAGGUGGAAUUCCGGGUGUAGCGGUGGAAUGCGUAGAGAUCCGGAAGAACACCGGUGGCGAAGGCGGCCUGCUGGGCUGUUGCUGACACUGAGGCGCGACAGCGUGGGGAGCAAACAGGAUUAGAUACCCGAUAGUC